rnacentral:lncRNA from 1 species
AAAUGUACUUAUAUGGUACAAAAAAAGGCCUUAUACAGAACAUUGUGUUAAAACAGACAUCACAACGUAAUUCGUCAUUCAAAAUCCUUUAAUUUGAUGGGUCAUACAUUGAUUUCUGAUUAUCCGUUCCAAAGAUACAAAUAUUUGUACAAAAUUAUGAAAAAUCGAAUAAUUUGAAAUAUUUACAAAAAUAUUUUAAGUUGUUUGUUAACAUGCCGGGUGUGUAUGGUUGAUAAGAAAAGAGUGCAGACGUUAUUUUUGUUAAUAUUAACCUCCAAAGAUAUGACAAGCCACAAUGCUAAAAGUCCGGAUGUAGUCGGAUGAGAACAUGUAACCGCAGUUGUUAUUUGUGUAAAUGUUAUCACAUAUUUUUAAAACUAUAAGGUCUUGUUUUUGCAAAACACAUUCAAACAUUUGAUCACGUUCAUGCUGUGUGAAUUUCGCCUAUAAAUACUGAAACAGACGAGCAUAUACCACAGUCGACAUCUGACAGUUUCUACAGUAUAGUUGCAGUGUUCAGUGGAAAAUAUUCAAUUAAGAUAUUCCUAGCGUUCAGACGUGUGCUCUGGU